ACGCCUUCUUAUCAUCUAUAGAGCAUACAUUUUAAAUUUCAAGUCUCUUACUUCAAAAACAUAGGACUUUCAUACAAACUUGCAACCAACGUUUUACCCCCUUAGGGGUGGAAUUUUGUAAAAUCCGUUCCUAGUGGGUGUCUACGCCUUAUAAGGAGCCUUCCUGCCAAAUUUCAAGUUUGUAGGUGUUAUAGUUUCGGAGAUUUCGUGAUCAGUGAGUUAACCUACCAUUCCCCGUUUUAACCCCAAAAGGGGGUUGAUUUCUAAAG
rnacentral:misc_RNA from 1 species